UGCGUAGGGUGCGAGCGUUGUCCGGAUUUAUUGGGCGUAAAGAGCUCGUAGGCGGUUCAGUAAGUCGGAUGUGAAAACCCCAGGCUCAACCUGGGGCCUGCAUUCGAUACUGCUGUGACUAGAGUCUGGUAGGGGAUCACGGAAUUCCUGGUGUAGCGGUGAAAUGCGCAGAUGUCAGGAGGAACACCGGUGGCGAAGGCGGUGAUCUGGGCCAGUACUGACGCUGAGGAGCGAAAGCGUGGGGAGCAAACAGG
rnacentral:rRNA from 1 species